ACAGGUGUCAGGGGUGUGGGAGCUGAUCGGAAUUGAUCUGACAGGUCCCAUGCCCCUGACAUCUUGUGGCAAUCAGUAUAUCCUGACAGCUACAGAUUACUUCUCUAAAUGGGUGGAGGCUUUCCCUCUCAAGACUAAGACCGCUGAGGAAGUCUGCCAAAAAUUAUGUUCUAUAUUUUACCGGCACGGCUGUCCUCAGCGUAUUCUCACUGACCAGGGGUGAGAAUUUGUGAACACAAUGAACAGUAGACUCUGUGAUCUACUUUCAAUUCAAAGAAGCAUCACUGCCGCCUAUCAUCCUCAAACCAACGGCUUGGAUGAAAAGACAAAUGACAACAUUAAGCGUAGUUCAACUUUGGUCUUUGAAAGACUCAGGGCAAGUUGAAGCCCAUAUAAAUUGUAUGACACAUCUUUUAGAACACUCUGUGGACAUGGCUGGCUGUCAGAUGAAGUAAGACUCCAUGUUCUGGGAAGUUUAUAUUUUCACAAGGCAGUCCAUCCAGAAAUUUAUGUUUGUUUGUUUUUUUGUCAAACAGGUUAUAGAUGCAUAUUUGUACGUGACACUUCAGAAGACCAAGGUACAACAUGUUUUAAGGUUAAAUUUAAUCCACUCUUUGUAGUUUCACAUAUUUCUUUGAAAUUAUAUUACAUUUCAGAUACCUGUAUACAGAAUGGAUGCAGUAAUUGCAUCUUCUGUAUUUCAUCUUGGGCAAUAUCGGGCUGUUCAAAAGAUGGUUUUACCUGAAGCCUCCAUUUGGAUGUGCCCUGUAAAUGUGGGAGGUCACUGGCUUUUGGUGAUUGUCGUGAUGAAUCACCAAGAGCUAGUAGUUAUAGACCCUAUGGGGAACGAAACAAUGUAUGACAGAAAGCUUCUCCGUAACUGGAGAAACUUCCUAAAAGCAAAAGGUGCUGGCCGGAGAAGCUGGAGUGUCCGCCAUAUGCCGCAUAUGCUGCAGAAGGACUCCAGCAGUUGUGGGGUCUUGGUUUUGAAGUUUGCAGAAAUAUAUGUUUAAAUGGGAGGGCUGCAGGCAGUGCAAACAGGACCCAAAGACAUAUCCCAAGCCAGACUGCACAUCGCUACCACACUGUAUCAACAUCGAGGUGAAAGAACAAUUACAAAGAAGUCUUGUUUUCCAGUUUGCUGGCUGAAUGUUCAGAGAUUUAUAGCUUUGGACAGCUAUGAUUCUAAGAAUUUUUUGGUCAGAACACAUGAAAUUUUAUUAAUGUUGGGUAUUAAGAACCAGUUCCACUGUUCUGGGAACUGUGGAAGUC